GACGUAGGGCGCGAGCGUUGUCCGGAUUUAUUGGGCGUAAAGAGCUCGUAGGCGGCUUGUCGCGUCGUCCGUGAAAACCUGCAGCUCAACUGCAGGCUUGCGGUCGAUACGGGCAGGCUGGAGUUCGGUAGGGGAGACUGGAAUUCCUGGUGUAGCGGUGAAAUGCGCAGCUAUCAGGAGGAACACCGGUGGCGAAGGCGGGUCUCUGGGCCGAUACUGACGCUGAGGAGCGAAAGCGUGGGGAGCGAACAGG
rnacentral:rRNA from 1 species